CUAUUAAUAUACCUUGGCACAAACGCAUAUUUUUGAACUUAUCUCAUGACUUCCUUAUAUGGUUAACAACACUUGGAUCUCCUAGACUCUACAAACAAAAACGUGAGUUAUAAGUUGUCCAACAUUUUGUGGCCCAAAUACCUCAAGACCCCGGGGUAUUGGUGAGUCAUGGGUCAGACAUGUGAAAAUCGUAGUUCAUGACCUAAAAAGUUCAUGUACUAAAGUUCCCAAGCAUAGAUGACAGAGCACGCUCACAAACAUGUAACCAAUCAUAAAGAAGGGUAUUGUGCUUUCCCAUUACAUGAGUUUGUUCAGUGUACAUGCUAGUAUAUAUUUUCGAGCAUUAUAUAAGUAGAAUAUGUAUACACUCCUAUAAUCGAUAUUGAUGACAGCAACAAUAUUUUAUUAUUUUUUCAAUAAAUAAGAAGCCAAUACUAUAGACAUAUAUUAGUUAGUACAGUAAAGUACGUACUAUUUUGUUACAAGACAAUUAAACAAGGCUGGUCAGGCAUAGCAAAUUAUUAUGUGGUACAAAAAAAAUAGAGAGAACAUGCAAAAUCAGGGCAGCCCACCUGCUGGGAGGAGGAAAAGAUAUUCUCCACAUAUGAGCAGGAAAAUAUAUUGUCUAGGUUUCCGUGCCCACCUGUGUCCUUCCUACGUACAAUCACUACUAAAAAUAACGAAAGAUCGAUCCUGUCUGUCGAAAAAAAAUCUUACCUUAUCAACUUAAAUAUGCCUUCCCUGCGACAACUUAUUUCCAUUAUGCCAGAACUUUGAGGCAAAAACUUGCUGCCCAUUGCUAUGAAUCAUCAAGACCAAGU
rnacentral:lncRNA from 1 species